UCGGAGAAUCGCAAUCAAAAUAAAAACGCGAAACAGCUGCGGGGCGGGGGAAGCACCCGGACGAAAGAGGAGAGAAAGAGGGCACCGCCUCGUCCUCUAGGCACCGAGGAGCCGCGGAGAGCACUCCGUCGUGGGGGGAACCGCGGUCCCGUGUGGGGCAGAGUUGGGAAGGGGGAGAACUGCGCCAUCCCUCCCCCCCCCAAGGAGCCUUUCCUGGAGCGGAGUGAAGCGUGAAGGCCGGUCGCAAGAGUUGGAGACGUUUCUGAAUGUGGGAACAGAUUCCACGCCCGUCCAGGCUGCUGUUCUUUCCCUGCCCUGUGUGGCUAUGCAGAAUUUUGAGGAGUUAUUAUUGGUGGGGCAAUAUUGGAAGAAAAACUUAUUGCCUACUUUGGAAGAAUGGAUA